AUUGAACGCUGGCGGCAUGCCUUACACAUGCAAGUCGAACGGCAGCACGGGGCAACCUGGUGGCGAGUGGCGAACGGGUGAGUAAUGCAUCGGAACGUGCCCAGACGUGGGGGAUAAUUACUCGAAAGAGUAGCUAAUACCGCAUAUGAUCAAAGGAUGAAAGCUGGGGAUCGCAAGACCUCGAGCGUUAGGAGCGGCCGAUGGCAGAUUAGGUCGUUGGUGGGGUAAAGGCUUACCAAGCCUGCGAUCUGUAGCUGGUCUGAGAGGCCGACCAGCCACACUGGGACUGAGACACGGCCCAGACUCCUACGGGAGGCAGCAGUGGGGAAUUUUGGGCAAUGGGCGAAAGCCUGAUCCAGCCAUUCCGCGUGCAGGAUGAAGGCCCUCGGGUUGUAAACUGCUUUUGUACAGAACGAAAAAGCUCUGGUUAAUACCUGGAGUCCAUGACGGUACUGUAAGAAUAAGCACCGGCUAACUACGUGCCAGCCGCCGCGGUAACAC
rnacentral:rRNA from 1 species